rnacentral:lncRNA from 1 species
CUGAGCCCCCCAAGGGUGGUCUCGGUGACUCGGCACCUCAGUCCUGAGGUGCUGAGAUCCCACAACGUGGCACUGCCCAGAGAACAUCUGCCAUCGUGACCUCUUCCUGCCAUGCCCAGUGCUCUCACCACUGCACAUGGGCCAGAGCUGCUUCUAGGGUUGUCCUUUUAAGGAUGCUUUGUCCCGUUCCAAAAAGAGCACAGUCUCACCUUCGGGACACCUGUCCCCCCCAGAUUCACUCCCUGGGGCUAAGGGGUUUCAAGAACAGAGAUCUUCUUCUUCUUCCCCAAAGACGAAGGGCACCAUCAGCACCCUCCUCACCCAUUGCCUCAGUUCACGUACUCCUUCACAUAACAUCACUGGACUCUCUUGGCUCUGAGUCAUUGCCUCCCCCUAAGUGGAGUCUCUGUGUCACAGGAAAAAAAUGGUUCUCUCCAUGGCUAUAUAAGAAAAGUCCAGCCAAAGGCCACUCCAUCACCUCCGCCCACCCAAGAUUCUUCUCAACUUCUCCUGUGGCCCAUUUCCUCUCAUCUCAUCUCUAUCUCUCUUCUCAUUCAACUCCAGGAGGAUCAGCAUUUGUAAGGUUUCCAUCAUCUAAGAAAAGAGUUAAAAAUCUCCGGAUCUGCCUGUCCAGAACUCCCAUGCUGCCCUGCAGGGCACCUUCUCACCACACCUCCCCUUUCCACCUCUCGGCCGGCUGCGCUAUCAAUUUCAAGGUGGCACAAGCACAGGCACAGGCUCUCUCUCUCUCUGUGUCUCUCCUGGAGGGGAGGGAGCUGCUCGAUGCCUCUUGUUGCUCCUCCACCCUUCCAUCCUCAGGGCCCUGGUCUACCUCACUUUUAACCCCUCUGUGUUCUCAGAGGUGUAUCCAUGUCCUCAGUGGCCACACCAGGUGCCAAUAUUCAAAUCUGAACACCUAUUGGCUUGACCACAGCAUCCCAAAAAAGUCACUUCCUCUCAAAUCAGGACAGGUAUUUUUUUACUUUUACACCAUGUUACUAGAUUUGAUUAACUUUUUCUAACAAAAUUCAAUAAAGUUAAUAUCCUGUCACA